UUGAUACACCAAGGGGUUAUGUUAAAAAAAUGUCUGCGUACUGGCCCGCUCAAAGCACUGCCUCAAAGUGAUUGCUUGCAUUCACUGAUUAACUGAUUCACCAACUGAUGAUAUAUACUUGGUCCCAACAUUCAGAACUCCCUGUACAAUAUCUACCACUGGUGCACUCAGAGAUAUGACAGUUGCGAGUAAUCAACUCUGACCGAAUAAUAAAGCCUUUCAAAUCUCAUUCACUGAUGUGUGCUCCCGUCUUACCUCCUGCCUCCAAACUUCCUCUGUGCUUGAUUUAGGCUCUCCAUAGGCAACUGAACUUGUCUGACUAAGCCGUUCAGUUGUGAUUACAUACAGCGCCCCUGCCCAAGUGAGUGUCCAGUGCCCUGGGGGUGGAGACCGAGCCCGUCGCUUCUGCCUCGGUAAUGAAACAACAUCACAUUCCGGGCCAGUGCAUCAGAAAACACAAGAGGGAUCAAUGCCUAACAGCUGGACUCCAAUGAGCUGCUGUGCUCGUACAGGCUGCCUCGAUAAACGCAGCAGUCGUGAAAAUCAUGCUCUGUUUGGGUGAAGUUCACCUGUGACGUGUUAUGGUUCAACUCAGUUUGAUUGUUAAUAGAUGGAGUUAAAACACA